GGAUUUAAUUUAGAUUCAUUUUAUAACUUAUCGAUUUUAGAGAGAUAUCACAUGUCGAAAUCGAUAUUUAUGUAAAAAUACAGUAUCAAGCAGAAUCGAAGCCAGUAUUUUAUUACAGUUACAGAAUCACCGAGACAUAGAUAAUACAUCAUUAAUCCUUCUCUACAUUUUUUUUCUUUCUUUUUCAUUCCACCACCCAUUGCUCCCCAACCACCAACACCACUACUUUACUAUCACCACUACACUUUGUUGAGCACUACAUUCUGUCAAAACACUACAACAACUUCUCCACUUAGCCUCAACUUCAACCAACAAACCACAUUCAUUCUCUUCCAUUUUUUCAUGUAGAAUCCACUAAGGAACAAGAGGAAAUCGUUUAUUACUCUGCCAGCAAACUUCAAGAGGUAAGCUUGGUUCAAUUUCUUCACCUUUCUUCCAUAUGCAACCUGCAUUAACAGAAGGACCUAAUUCAUUUCAGUUAUCUCCCUAGUUAAAACUACUCAAGUUCGGCAAAUAGUUCAUCAAUCAAACAAAGCAACUUCACGGUGAGUUUUAUACUUUAACUCUACCAUUUUCUGCCAAAGUCUCAUUCAUUCGUUAAACAAUGGCAGCUUCAAUUCAUUUCAGUUAUUUCACACUUCACUAAACUCCAGCAACAACCAAUCAGUUGAAAACAAGUGAGGUAAUUCACUAUCUCAAAUAACCAUUCCAGAAAACAUUCAUAUCAAGCAUGAUUAUGGUUAGUUUCACAAUGCCAGAAGACCGUAUAAUCAUCUUGAACUUAGCAAGCACCAACAACAUUCUAAUAUUCAAGUGACAGUUCCUAUGUAGUUCUAAUCAAGCAUAAUUUGAGUUAUGCAAAACAAGAAGAUUUCACCUUGUCUAGUUCACGUUUUCGAAUCGAUAAAAAGGAAGAAUGACUAGAGAACUUAGCUUAAGGAAUAGGGCCGACUGCCCUGCUCUGAAUCGGAAGACGGCGCGACGACGGAGCUUCCAUUGACGUCUGAAUCGGGACUAUCGGAGCUCUGCGACUCACGGCGACGGCGGCUCCGGGAAAGGAGGCUGCCGGGCCCUUGCUGUUAACAGCAGCGGCUGGCGGCGGCGCUCCAGGCGGCGGCGUUACCUCAGCAGCGGCGACGUCCGACGAUAAAACUCCAGACCGCGACCCGGCGAAAUAGCAGCGGCGAAUCACGUCGGACUUCCAGUUGCAACGACGGCCUCGACGGAAAUUGGGCACAGCGGCGGUUCGCGGUGCCUUCACCCAGCACCGACAGCGACGGAAGGAGCCGACCUCGUCGGACCUCAGAAUGGCGGAAAUAGCGUCAUGCUCGCCGGAAAAUGCAGCGGCGGCGGCAGCUCCAAAAAGGGAAAUUUGGGAUUUCUUUUUGAAUUCUCCAGUAAAUUUGAGAGGAAGGAAUUGAAGAGAGGAGGAGGUGUCGGACCUUGGCGAGGUAGAAGCUGACUCGCCGGAUUGUGGAGCGGCGACGGCGGGCGCCUCGGCUGGAGAUGGAUCGAGAGAGAGAGAGAGAACCGAAGGGAGAGAGAGCUCGACUGUUUGGAAUAUUGGGCUUGCUAGAUGAGCUUAUUAUUUGAUUGAUUUGGGCCUUGUAUAAUUUUUUUAUUGGGCUCUUUUAUUGGGCUUUCUUUAUUUUAAUUUAUAUGGGCUGAUUUUAAAUUGUGAAUUGGGCCUCUGAUUUUAUUUAUAUGGGCUGAUUUUAAUUACUGAUUGGGCAUUUGAUUUUAUUUAUAUGGGCCUUUGAUUAUUCACUUAUUUGGGCUGUUGUAUCAUUUCAGUUGGGCCUUAUUUAUUUUACUCAGAUGGGCUUUUAUUACAUUAUUUCAUUGGGCCGAAUUUAUUUAAAUUGAAGCCCAUCUAUUUUAUUUUAACUGAGCUGUUAUAUUAUCUUCGUUGGGCCUCGUUUGAUUUAUUUAAUUGAGCCCAGUUAAUCAAAUUAUUUAUUUAUUGGGCCAAGAUUUAUUUAAUUACUUGAGCCGAUGAAAUAUUUAAUUGGGCCUCUCAUGCUAAUUAUUCAAGCCCAAUUCUACUUAAUUAAUUAUUAGGCUACCUUAUGUUGAGCCUUUUAGUUAUUUAAUCUUAUAACAUUACUUUCUCCCAUUUAUUAAAGCUCGAUUGAGUUUUACGAGGUUAAAGCGAGUAAGUUGAAGUAAUUAAUUAUUUAUUUUCUAUCGACUACGAGGAGUGGGGUUAUUUAAUCGGCGGAUUAGAACAUCCUGAAGAGAAUAGAUUAAUUUUAAUUAAUUAUCCGACUUCAUGAGACGAAACUUAGCUUUUGUUAAAUCCGAUAGCCAGGAUUAACAAUAGAAAUUCCCUGAUUAUUAUCCCAGAAUAAUAGUUCAUGCAUAUGAGGUUCAUGCAUAGUUAAGUACGCAUUCUCAUUUUGAGGAUUUUACUCGAGCAAAUAUCUUACUUUAUAUCUCGCAAUAAAGGUCAAGCGCGAGAGUAAUAAUAGCCAGUCAAGGAGCUACUAUACCAUAGCAAAGUUUGCUAUCAGGUGGGCAUUACUUUCAUAUAUAUCAAAUGAGUUUAAAUGUUACGUUCAAGCAAGUUAUUUCAUGACUAAAUUAAUUGAAAUUAUUUCAACUGUUGUCUUGCCAUAAAUGUUUCAAUGUUUGGUAUGAUAUCUAUCUGAUGUGGCUUUGCCAGUUAUUAUGAAAUCGAAUUCGGGUCCUGAGCAGUUGAUAGCUAUCCUGCCAGGGCUAGUGUACACCAGUGACCGUGAGUCAUCUAGCGGGUUGGCCGGUCAAGUGUCCGUGAGAGGUGGCCACCUCUCCGGCACACAGUUCCAGAUAUGAUAGAUUACAAGAGAACUUAGUCUGCAGACGAACUUUAAGAAUCACAAAUGAAUUUAGUAAGCUUGGGCCUUUUUAGCGAAAAACUCCCUUGCUGUACUGUUUAUGAUGGCAUGACAAUUUACAACUUUACGAAGCAUGUUAUAUUUCAUAGUAGGCAUAUGUGCCCACUGAGUACUUUUGUACUCAGCCCUGCAUAUAUUUCUAAAUGUGCAGGUUGAGCAGCUGCCGAUGGUGAUGAAGUGACGAGCGGGAC
rnacentral:lncRNA from 1 species